AUCUAUCCGAUGAGUCCCGAAUAGGACGAAACACGUGUCCUGGAU
rnacentral:hammerhead_ribozyme from 1 species